UACAGAGGUCCCAAGCGUUGUUCGGAUUCACUGGGCGUAAAGGGUGCGUAGGCGGUUUGAUAAGUCUGAUGUGAAAUCCCGCAGCUUAACUGCGGAACUGCAUUGGAAACUGUUUGACUAGAGGAAUGGAGGGGAGACUGGAAUACUUGGUGUAGCAGUGAAAUGCGUAAUAUCAAGUGGAACACCAGUGGCGAAGGCGAGUCUCUGGACAGUUCCUGACGCUGAGGCACGAAGGCCAGGGGGAGCAAACGGG
rnacentral:rRNA from 1 species